CCAGGAGAUCCUGGUAAGCAGUGAGUUGAGAACCACUGGCCUUAUUAUCACACUGCAUCUUUCUCAUGAAGAAACCGAAAACCGAGGAGGCGAGCUGAUUUCUUUAUGGCUGGAGGAGGCCAGAGGUAAGAGUAGACCAAAGAUCUUUCCAAAGACCCUUGUACCUGUGAGCAACAGCCAUUCUCUGGUUUCACCCAAACUGCUGUGGCAUCUGACUCGCAUUGCAGUCUCCUUAAAAAUCCCUUUCUGUUCAGCUUAUUUUUUUUAUUUUUGGCAGCAAGUUGUGAUCUACUGUUUCACCCCAGAGAAUAUUUCUUGGUUCAUUUGAAAAAGUGAUGUGUCACAGGUCCUGUGUGGCCACACAGCCUGGGUGUGGGAGUCGAGGGUGAUUUGGACCCUUCUUCUCAGGUUGCAGUUGCUGCACUGAUCUCCUCCUGCUGAUUUCUUUGUGAUUUAAUUUACCCUUCCUCUCAUUAAACAAAAUAAAAUUAAAAAAAAAAAC
rnacentral:lncRNA from 1 species